GUUUUUCAUAAUAUAUUCACAAAUAUGAAUACUAAAAUUGCAAUUUGCGUUUUUGCUUGUCUCUUUGGUAGGUUAAAGUUUUAUACUUAUUCUUAUAAUUUAUUGUCUAUUAUAAGCAUGCAUUUAUUAUCAUGAUUUCUUUCAAAAUUAUUACGACAGAAUAUUAUCAUACAUUAAUAAAUGCACUUGAAACGUAGAAUUGAUGAGGGGGGGUAGGAGGGGUCCUGAUCCCGAAAUCCCGGGCUUAAAAACACGAAAUCCCGAAAUCCCGGGCUUAAAUUAACGAAAUCCCGAGGUCCCGAAAUUCGAAUAAAGAAUUCCCGGAUCCCGAGAGGGUCAAUCCCGAAAUCCCGAGCUUAAAAACAUCCGAUCCCGGAGUCCCGAUAAAGGUCCUAUCCCCCCUCAUUGAUGAGCAUUGAUUUCAUCGGUGUCAUACAAGUGAAAAAUCUAACUAGCUAUAAAACCAGGUUCAAUCCACCCUAUUCUACAAAUGACAAUGCUGUACCAAAUUAGAAAUAUGACAAUUGUUAUUUAUUCGUUCGAUAUUUUGAGUUUUCAAUUUGUCAAUAGAUGAAGGACUUUCCGUUUUGAAUUUUCCUCGGAGUUCAGUAUUUUUGUGAUUUUACUUUUUAUGUUUAAAGAGUAACCUGUUGUAAAAAAAACAACAUCAAACUAAAGGUUGCUGACUUCGUUGGGCAUAACAGUAACAUAGAAUAAAUCGGACUAUAAUCUGUUAUCGGUAAUCUAUUAUAAUUCUAUGGACAGAAAUACAAUGAUUUAUAGAUUUAUGGUAUUGAACGUCACUUUCAUCAAUAUUUUGUUUAUUUUGUGGCGAGCAAUUUAAUUGGUAAAUGGAAGCGAGUACCAGCAUAGACCAAACAACCUUCGUCAGGAAAUUGGUAAUUUUAGUCAAUCAUAUUCAGAGUCGAACGCACCUGCUUUGGGCGUUAAUGUACAUUCUAGAUUAUAUAUGUUCCCUUCCGAUGUAUUAUGCAUCGUGAUUUACCUGCGAACACGUUAAAAAAGGAACAAAUGAUAAUUAGUGUAUAUAAAACGAGAUGUUCAGAUAUGUACCGAAUAUGAAAUUAUGAUAUGGCAUUAUAAAAUUGAGAAUGGAAAUGGGGAAUGUGUCAAAGAGACAACAACCGACAAAAUAAAAAAAACACACAGCAGAAGGUCACAACAGGUCUGCAAUGUAGCGAGAAAUUCCGCACCCGGAGGCGUCCUUCAGCUGGCCCUAAACAAAUAUAUCUAGUUCAGUGAUAUGAACGCCAUACUAAUUUCAAAUUGUACACAAGAACUAAAAUUUAAAUAAUACAAGACUAAAAAAGGCCAGAGGUCCUGAUUGGACAGCCAAAAAUGCGGCGGGGUUAAACAUGUUUGUGAGAUCUCAACCCUCCCCCUAUACCUUUAACCAGUGUAAAAAAGUAAAAUAUACAAUGCAAAUGGCAUAGCAACUUGUAACUAGCAUGCAUCUGAUUAAAUAAUUUUCAAUUUCAGUAUCCACCUUCGGUGAAUCUUGUAGAUACGUGCAUAAUUGUCGUAACACAAGGUGUGUAAACCGGACAGGGAUCAAUUGUAUCAAAAACUUGUGUGCUUGUGUAUAUUUGACCAACACUAGUAAGUAUGUUAAGAUUAUUCUUUCCUGAAGUAAACAAACAUUAACAUGACGUUAAUUAUCAUUAAUAAUCAUUUUAAGUACUUUUGUUAUUAUCUCAACGAGACUCAUUUUUGAACAGUUUUAAAACAACAAUUUGAUUAACGAUUUCAUCCAUAAUAAUAAAUUAGAUUAAAACCUGGUUUUAUAUCAAGUUAAACGUUUUAAACAGGACAUUUCAAAUUCAUAAGUUGUUAAAUCUUUUUUAAUUGUCAUACAAGUGAGAGAUUUAAGCAGCUUCAAAACCAGGUUUCAUUUACAGUUACGCAUGCAAAUACCAGUACAAGGUUAGGAAUUUAACAGUGUUUUUUUUUUAUUGAUUUGAUGUGUUCGAUCUCUUAUAAUUAUAUUUGUUAAGGGACUUCGUGUAUUGCAAUUUCCUUGAAGAUUGUUUUUUUUUUACUUUUGAAGACGAUUAAAAGGAAUAUUGUUUAGUUUCUAAGGAAACUUAAUGUUUUUGCAAUAAGUACACGAACAAAUAGUACAGCUGCUGUAUUACUUAAUUUGUUGAUGUUUGUUGCUCUGUUUAUAUUAAUUCAAGCCCUUUCGAAUACUGUUUUGAAAUGGUUGUACAUUUAUAACAGAACUGAAAAAGCAGAUAUUACUGAAUAGAAAUGUUCUCUCAUAUAUAUAAGUAACAUUUGCACCUUAUCUCUUGUAUACACAACACUUAAAAUGCUUUGUUAAUAAAUGGCUUCUGAAACAAUAUAUAAGAUAAUUCAAUCGAGGAUUACAAGGAAAAUGCUUUUUAAAGAUACUACAUGAAUAAACUUGAGGACUUCAAAUAUCUGACAAAAAGUAUAAAACCAGGUUUAAUCCACUAUUUUCUACAAAUGGAAUUGCCUGUUCCAAGUUUAUUGUUUCCAUUUAAUGUUUAUUUUGACAACUUAAUUGAUAUUUGAAUUGGUUUAAACUAUUCAACGUAACAUUGCAAUCAACUUGGUAUAAUAAUUAUGAAAUACUAUAUUGUUUUCAGGUAGCAAUCAAUGUAUAUGUAGUGUAAAUCAAUGUGUAUUUCCCUUUGUUGCGAGAUAUAUGAAGAUUUGUUUACCCUCCUAAAGUCAUGUCUCCCAAUUGAACUUUGCCUAAUAACUUCCACCUUCACGGGAAAUAAUGGUAUAAUAUACACCUUUUGUAAUAGUUAAAGAAUAAAAAUGUAAAUGCGAAUGACUUAAAUUAUACAUAGUGAAAAUAGAAUCUAAAAGACAAUAAUACAAAAAUAUGUCAAAUAAAUCAGAUUUUCAGAAAAGGAGAAAAAAGAGAAAAGUUUGGUAUGAUGAUGAAUGUGAAGUUAAGUACAGACAUGUGAAACAAUUGGCAAGGAAUUUAAGUAAUAAUCCUUGGGACAAAAAUUUGAGACAAACUAAAAGUUGCUUUAAAUAAAAAGGAAUUUAACAAAUUAACCAGAAAAAAACAUAGACUUUUUAAAAAUAAAUUAUUAAAAAAUAUUUUAGAAUCUGAAGACAAGAAUCCUUCACAAUUUUGGAAGUCAGUUAAUCAAUUAAAAGAAAAAGCAAGUAAUGACCCCAGUUGUAAUAUAUCCCCAAAGGAAUGGUUGAAUUAUUUUAAUAAAUUAAUGAAUAUAGAUCAUAUAAAUAGUUAUGAAAAUGAAGAUACUCACACAUCUUCUUAUAAAAAUCAAAACAUUGAAAUUUUAAAUUCUGAGGUUACAACUGAGGAGGUACAGAAGGCAGCAAAGAAGCUGAAGUUUGGAAAG
rnacentral:lncRNA from 1 species